rnacentral:lncRNA from 1 species
CAUUAAUGUGAUCUAACAGUGGCUCAAAGUCAAUAGGCCCUCACAAAAGUCCUUUGCAGGGAGUAGGAUGGGUCCUGUGAUCUCUGUUAAUUAUUAAUAAUAAUACAAAGGAGAAUAAGAAAAUUUAUGUUCCAUGUCCACUGUGUGACAAACAGCAUUUGAAUCCAGACUCCCUUUCCAACGCUUGCUCUUCUGGUCACUUUCCUGCUGCCCAGUUUGAGCUCAAUUCUGUCCAGUUCAGACAAUUCUUAUGAACCAAACCCACAGCUCCCAAACUGAUGUGCUGAGUUCACCUCCCGACCUGAAGCUCUGCCUGCACUGUCACGAUCCCAACCCCAGGCAUUGGGUACACCCAUCAGCAUGGUGGACUUGUUGAAGGUAACCUUUCCCUAUCUUCCAGCCUUCUUCUAAAGUACACUGGAAAUUUCAUUUUACAGUAAAAGGAAAUGAACACUAUGGUUACUCCACUAUUGUUAGGGUGUGGAAAAUGAGUAAGGCA